UAUUACAACAGGCUCCCUAAAGAACAAAAAUCCAUCUGUUCGUGUUACGAUGACCUGUCUGAAAAAGGAUCUUUGCAGAAGGAGGAAUUGCAGCUAGCAGGAGUGACCCCAGAAGGAGAAUGAAUGACAAGAUUAUUCAGUGUGGAUUUGCUGAGAAAUAUGGUUGCAGAGGAAAUGGAGUUGAACUAGGUUUGGGGGUUCACUGAGGACAAAGAUGCAGAAUAUUGGCUCCUUGUACAACACACAUAAG